CCUGKUUAACAAAAACAUGUCUUUUUGAGUUAUUUUUAAAGUCUGACCUGCCCACUGAAGUUAUUUAAAUGGCCGCAGUAUUCUAACUGUGCAAAGGUAGCAUAAUCAUUAGUCUUUUAAUUGAAGGCUGGUAUGAACGGUKGGACGAGGUAUAAGCKGUUUCAUAUAAAUUUAUAAUAGAAUUUUAUAUUUUAGUCAAAAAGCUAAAAUUUAAUUAAAAGACGAGAAGACCCUAUAAAUCUUUAUACUUUACAUUGUUUAAAUUUUUUAGAUUAAUUUUAUUUUUAUAAUUURAAGUAUUUUGUUGGGGUGAUAUUAAAAUUUAAUGAACUUUURAUUAUUUAAAAUCAUUAAUUUAUGAGUUAUUGAUCCAUUAGUAGUGAUUAUAAGAUUAAGUUACUUUAGGGAUAACAGCGUAAUUUUUUUGGAGAGUUCAUAUCGAUAAAAAA
rnacentral:rRNA from 1 species